UACAGAGGUCUCAAGCGUUGUUCGGAUUCACUGGGUUUAAAGGGAGCGUAGGUGGGUUGGUAAGUCAGUGGUGAAAUCCCCGAGCUUAACUUGGGAACUGCCAUUGAUACUAUCAGUCUUGAAUACUGUGGAGGUUAGCGGAAUAUGUCAUGUAGCGGUGAAAUGCUUAGAUAUGACAUAGAACACCAAUUGCGAAGGCAGCUGGCUACACAAUUAUUGACACUGAGGCUCGAAAGCGUGGGGAUCAAACAGG
rnacentral:rRNA from 1 species